AGAGCACCCAGUGCUGGGAGUCCCACUCACCGCUCAGACGGUGAGACAGGGACUCACCACUGACACAUCCCACGUCAGAAAGGAAGGAGGAGGCCCCCCAAGGGAGGGAGCCAGCAUGCCUGCUGUGUCAACAAUCAGAAGCUGACCUGGACAUCUGUGGGGAACAACUCCAGAUAAAUGGGUUCUGUGCCCACGAGUUCUGCCUGGUGAGUUGCUUCAUGGGCUCCCACCAUGUUUUGACAGGCAGUCCCUGCCACUCUCUGCUCAUCAGUGUGUGUCAUUUUUUCUACAGUUUUUUACCAGCCACCUUCCUCAGCACAAUGAUGAUCCAGUAGGACUCUUUGGCUUUCUCCCAAGGGAUAUCCAAGAUGUAGUCUCCCGGGAAGCACAGAAGACCACCAUGAGGGGAGGGCUUGAAUGCAUUCACUGAGCCAGGAGAGAGACAGAGGCACUGUGAUGCCAGUGAGUGCCUUUGUCCAGGAGGCAGGCAGGAGGCAGAGGAGGAGGGGCCCUGGGAACUGCUCCUGUGCUCCUCCUGUGCUGCUGAGAGCACCCCCAGACACUGCUCUGGCCUGAGGGACAGCACAACCAGCUGGGACUCUGAUGGCUGUGCUGGUCUGGGCACAGCCUCCAGUUAAGACUCAGAGCUGUUGCUCUCAUGAAGAACUCUUCUGACAACUCGACAGAAUGCAAGACCAUCACCCCAGGACGAGCAAACUCCAUAUCAACCUACAGGCAACAUCGGAGGAGACUCUGGAAUCCCCCUCACAAAAGAUGAGCAUCUCCAGCCCUGACAGUCAGCAUUGUCAGACCCCAAAUUCAUCCAGCAGAUCCUGAAGUCACCGUGAGAGGAGCCGUGUCAGAGCACCCAGUGCUGGGAGCUCCACUCACCGGUGGGACAGUGAGACAGGGACCCACCGCUGACACGUCCCAUGUCAGACAGGGAGGAGGAGCCCCUCGAAGGGAGGGAGCCAGGUGAGAGCAAAGUGCCCCUCCCACAGCCUGGCAGAGGGGCU